CACAACUAUCCAAUCUCUCGAGAU
rnacentral:siRNA from 1 species